GAUGAAGAACGUAGCGAAAUGCGAUAAGUAAUGUGAAUUGCAGAAUUCAGUGAAUCAUCGAAUCUUUGAACGCAUCUUGCGCUCCUUGGUAUUCUGAGGAGCAUGCCUGUUUGAGUGUCAUUAAAUUCUCAACUACACUGACUUUGAAUUGGUGUGGCUUGGAUUUGGGGGGAAAAUUGUUGUGGGCUUUUUGUAUAGUCUGCUCCCCUGAAAUUGAUUAGCGGUACCUUUGUGGAACUGUCUACAGGUGUGAUAAUUAUCUACAUAUUAGACAUCUGCUGGAAUGCUGAUUUCUAAACCUUACUUGUAUUGACAAUCUUGACCUCAAAUCAGGUAGGACUACCCGCUGAACUUAAGCAUAUCAAUAAGCGGAGGA
rnacentral:misc_RNA from 1 species